AAAGUCCUAUCACUUGGGGAACUCUGCUGGGAACAAUAGUUUUGUGGAAACAAAGGCAUUGAAAAACAGUGGAAAAUCCAGAUUCCUCAUCAGUUUUAAAGCAGCCGUCCUGGAAGGAAUGCAUUUCCUAUCAUUCCCCAUGAUGUUAGCAGCUUCCAAUGAUCUGAGAGGAUCUUCCCGACCCAGGGAUCAAACCUGCAUCUCCUGCAUUGGCAGGUGGGUUCUUUACCACUAAGCCACCAGCGAGACCCCUUCGACUAUGCUAUUUCUUCUGGGUGUGUGUGGAGGCGGAGUGGUACUGAGGAUGGAAGGAGUACAGAGAGUUACAGCAAACGUAUAAAGCAUCUACCAGCUAAUGAUGCCUCAGUUCAGUCCAGUCGCUCAGUCGUGUCCCACUCUUUGCGACCCCAUGAACCGCAGCACGCCAGGCCUCCCUGUCCAUCACCAACUCCCGGAGUUCACUCAAACUCACGUCCAUCAAGUCAGUGACGCCAUCCAGCCAUCUCAUCCUCUGUCGUCCCCUUCUCCUCCUGCCCUCAAUCUUUCCCAGCAUCAGAGUCUUUACUCUGCCAAAAUUGUGUUUAUUUGUUAAAAAUAUACUUCAUUGUAUUAUAGCAAAACUAAACCCCUCCCCAGUCCCUACCGAGACAGAAUGAUUGGGUUUCAGGGUGAGGUGCCAGCUAGUGUUUUGGGGGGUAUUAAUGUGCCAGCUGCUCCUGCAGUAUUCAUUUUAUUUCCAGUCCCCAGGCUGGUUUUACACGUUUUUUGUGUAAGGGAAUC
ensembl:lncRNA